rnacentral:rRNA from 1 species
AGUGAACGCUGGCGGUAGGCCUAACACAUGCAAGUCGAACGGCAGCACAGUAAGAGCUUGCUCUUACGGGUGGCGAGUGGCGGACGGGUGAGGAAUACAUCGGAAUCUACUUUUUCGUGGGGGAUAACGUAGGGAAACUUACGCUAAUACCGCAUACGACCUACGGGUGAAAGCAGGGGAUCUUCGGACCUUGCGCGAUUGAAUGAGCCGAUGUCGGAUUAGCUAGUUGGCGGGGUAAAGGCCCACCAAGGCGACGAUCCGUAGCUGGUCUGAGAGGAUGAUCAGCCACAUUGGAAGUGUGACACGUUCCAGACUCCUACGGGAGGCAGCGGUGGGGAAUAUUGGACAAUGGGCGCAAGCCUGUUCCAGCCAUACCGCGUGGGUGAAGAAGGCCUUCGGGUUGUAAAGCCCUUUUGUUGGGAAAGAAAAGCAGCAGGUUAAUACCCCGCUGUUCUGACGUUACCCAAAGAAUAAGCACCGGCUAACUUCGUG